rnacentral:rRNA from 1 species
UGGGGAAUAUUGGACAAUGGGCGAAAGCCUGAUCCAGCCAUGCCGCGUGUGUGAAGAAGGCCUUUUGGUUGUAAAGCACUUUAAGCGAGGAGGAGGAUACUGAGAUUAAUACUCUUGGAUAGUGGACGUUACUCGCAGAAUAAGCACCGGCUAACUCUGUGCCAGCAGCCGCGGUAAUACAGAGGGUGCGAGCGUUAAUCGGAUUUACUGGGCGUAAAGCGUGCGUAGGCGGCUUCUUAAGUCGGAUGUGAAAUCCCUGAGCUUAACUUAGGAAUUGCAUUCGAUACUGGGAAGCUAGAGUAUGGGAGAGGAUGGUAGAAUUCCAGGUGUAGCGGUGAAAUGCGUAUAGAUCUGGAGGAAUACCGAUGGCGAAGGCAGCCAUCUGGCCUAAUACUGACGCUGAGGUACGAAAGCAUGGGGAGCAAACAGG